rnacentral:tRNA from 1 species
GUUUAUAUAGUAUAAUAAUAUUACAUUUAACUUCCAAUUAAAAUAUUUAAUUUAACUUAAUAUAAAUA